UUCCAGUGGAUUGCUUAAGGCUGUAGCACUCGGUUGCCUAAUACAGGAAUUUGAAACUCAGAAUGAGUUUCCAAUUUCACACAUCUGGAAGUGCGUGUCAUCUUUUUCCUUGAUUCUUUUGACCAUCUGACGACGAUUUUGCUGUGUUUUAUGUAUUCGUUGGAGAAGGAAUAAAGAGUGUAACUCUGUGUAGUUGAAAGAGUGAUCAGGUUGGUAUGUGGAAAACUUUCUGUGUCGGCCUUUAACAAUUUAUGAAUAAUGCCAUCAAUUUUACUAUGAGAUCAUCCGGAUAAAGCGAUGUUGGCGAUGUUGAACUCUGACACUCACUUCUUUCUGAAGUUUCAUGCACUGUGGAGUAUUGUGCUUGUUAUCACAAUGUGACCAAGCUUGGUUCUGCAUAGGCUGUGUUCUUGUUACAUUUUGAUCAACAUAUUUCGACAUUAUUGAAUCAGUUUAGUGUUGGUGGGCCGAAAAAAACAAAAA
rnacentral:lncRNA from 1 species